GUGAGCAGGGCAGAAAAAAACUUCUAUUGCAUGAUGGAACAGCUCCCAGCGUUGAGGGGACCUGAGAGUGGGCAGCCACUACCUGAAGGUCGGGCUUCACUGGGGACCUGCCCCAGUCUGCCUAGGAAUCUGUCUUCUGCUACUAUCAGAGGGACCACGCUUCGCUUAUCCAGUCGUCAUUCACGGACCCUGCAUUGUCUCUGCCUCUUGGGCUUUGUGAAGAAUGCUGCUGUGAACAGGGGAGUGCCCCUGCCUGUUUGGGUCCCUGCUUUCCAUUUCUUUGGGAGCUCUUGGAACAGAACCAGACUUCUGGCCGGGGCUCAGUCAGUGCUUGCAAGAUGUUUGUUGGCACCAGGCUGUGCCAGGAGAGCAUCAUUAUAAACUGCUGAUCUACUGUUUCUUUGUCAAACGGGAGGAGAUAACAUGAGGGUCAUGAGAAAUGUUUGCAGACGGAGUGAAUGCCUUGAAAGUGCUGCGACCAGGUGCUGACACCCGGAGGUCUGGCUGCUCAAAGUGUUAGCUGACACGGAAGACACACGGACUUUCCCUCCAUUCCCCAAAACUCCCCUUCCCUGACUCGUCAGCUGCAUAAAAACCCUCUCCUUAUCUCUUUGUCAAGGGGAUUUGAGAAAUCUUGCUGUCUUGUCUUCUUGCUUUGGCCAAAUGGAAUAAACCUUUCUCUGUCUC
rnacentral:lncRNA from 1 species